rnacentral:rRNA from 1 species
CACGUAGGGGGCGAGCGUUGUCCGGAUUUAUUGGGCGUAAAGAGCUCGUAGGCGGCUCAGUAAGUCAGGUGUGAAAACUCCAGGCUCAACCUGGAGACGCCACCUGAUACUGCUGUGGCUAGAGUCCGGUAGGGGAGCAUGGAAUUCCUGGUGUAGCGGUGAAAUGCGCAGAUAUCAGGAGGAACACCAGUGGCGAAGGCGGUGCUCUGGGCAUUACCUGACGCUGAGGAGCGAAAGUGUGGGGAGCGAACAGG